UGGGGGAUCGUCUAAUGGUAGGACUACGGACUCUGACUCCGUCAGUAGAGGUUCGAAUCCUCUUCCCCCAGCCA
rnacentral:tRNA from 1 species